rnacentral:rRNA from 1 species
AUUGAACGCUGGCGGCAUGCUUUACACAUGCAAGUCGAACGGUAACAGGUUAAGCUGACGAGUGGCGAACGGGUGAGUAAUGCAUCGGAACGUGCCCGGUCGUGGGGGAUAACGCAGCGAAAGCUGCGCUAAUACCGCAUACGCUCUAAGGAUGAAAGCGGGGGACCGUACGGCCUCGCCCGAUCGGAGCGGCCGAUGUCAGAUUAGGUAGUUGGUGGGGUAAAGGCUCACCAAGCCAACGAUCUGUAGCUGGUCUGAGAGGACGACCAGCCACACUGGGACUGAGACACGGCCCAGACUCCUACGGGAGGCAGCAGUGGGGAAUUUUGGACAAUGGGCGAAAGCCUGAUCCAGCAAUGCCGCGUGCAGGAAGAAGGCCUUCGGGUUGUAAACUGCUUUUGUACGGAGCGAAAAGGUCUCCUCUAAUACAGGGGGCUCAUGACGGUACCGUAAGAAUAAGCACCGGCUAACUACGUGCCAGCCGCCGCGGUAA